AUUGAACGCUGGCGGCAGGCCUAACACAUGCAAGUCGAACGGUAGCACAGAGAGCUUGCUCUCGGGUGACGAGUGGCGGACGGGUGAGUAAUGUCUGGGAAACUGCCCGAUGGAGGGGGAUAACUACUGGAAACGGUAGCUAAUACCGCAUAACGUCGCAAGACCAAAGUGGGGGACCUUCGGGCCCCACACCAUCGGAUGUGCCCAGAUGGGAUUAGCUAGGAGGGGGGGUAAUGGCUCACCUAGGCGACGAUCCCUAGCUGGUCUGGGAGGAUGACCAGCCACACUGGAACUGAGACACGGUCCAGACUCCUACGGGAGGCAGCAGUGGGGAAUAUUGCACAAUGGGCGCAAGCCUGAUGCAGCCAUGCCGCGUGUAUGAAGAAGGCCUUCGGGUUGUAAAGUACUUUCAGCGGGGAGGAAGGCGGUGAAGUUAAUAGCUUCACCGAUUGACGUUACCCGCAGAAGAAGCACCGGCUAACUCCGUGCCAGCCGCCGCAGUAA
rnacentral:rRNA from 1 species